AGUGGAAAUACUUUCCUUUUUCGAUGGUCUUCUUCUUUGGAACCACCUUCUUCUCUUUUUUCUUGCUCUCUAUGUUUUGCUUCCUUGUGGACUUUUUCUUCUUUCUAGUCGACUUUCAUUUGGAAGAAGUCCGCUCCACAAUAAGUAAAGAGCCCCUUGAACUUUUCAAGGUUCCCUCUAUUGUGACCAGCAUAUUGACCAAUUCAUAUGUGGUGCAUUGAAUUUUAUUCAUAUGGAAGUUUACUAUAAACUGUGCAUAUGAAUCAGUCAGAGAUUGCAGAAUGAGGUCAAUCUGCAACUCCUUAUCCAU
rnacentral:lncRNA from 1 species